UGUCUUUAAUCUGCCUAAGUACCAAAAGUGUGUGGAGGCACUGGCCCAACCUCAAUACCUUUUCAAGCCUGGACUCUUGAACUUGGAGUACCAAUGCAAUAAACUUGUUGAGAGUAAUAUAAAGCCAGAUAGAAAGCAGAAGUGAGAGGGGAGAUAGAGCUUUCAUUGUGCCACACCAAAGAUCCCAAACACCCAUCCAUAGCCUCCUUCAAGGGUGGGGUAAUCUAUUGUAGUUGCUCUAAUUUU
rnacentral:lncRNA from 1 species